rnacentral:lncRNA from 1 species
CGUUUUGGAAUGCAACCAUGAGAAUCAAGCACAUCCAACUGACUCCAAUCCAGCACUAAGAAACGGUAAUGACUUUGUAAGGAAAAAAUCAAUACUAAAUUUGCUCUCACCUUCAAAACUCUCAUCAUUUUUGCCAACUGCCAUGGCUUCAUUUGACAGGGGAGUUGGAUUUGCAGCUUGUAGGUUUAGUUGCAAUUUCCCUCUGGGAGAUAGACGAGCAUUCCCUCCAGCGCUUCCACUCGAACAGCCUGCAGAAACUUCAGCAUAACAUCAGUUUCUUCAUUUAUUGAUGCAGUUAAAUAAGCAUAGGCACCACUAGAAUGAUUUAUCAUAAACAGAUUCAUGAUUACGGGCACCAAUCAAUACAUUCUACUAACAAUCAAAUGUUAUUAUGCAAGCAUUCAUUCUUAAUCAAACAUUAAUUUACAAAGUAAUUUCAUUUCAUUAAAAUAAUUAACCUAAAAAAGUCUUUAAAAUAUAAGGAGGGAGAAGUGGUUAUAGGCGAGCUUAGCAGCGUUGUUUUGAGCUUUCUUAAAGGAAGAAGAGGGGAAGGAGAGGAAAAGAGGGUGGCGUUGAUGGUGACAGUGGAAAAAAAGAGAGGGCUGUGAUCUUGUCCCAGUUUAGUGACUUCACAGGUAGGGAACUCCCAUCCUAUUAUUAUGGUUUAUAGUUAGUGAAUGAAUUAAAGCGGCUACAGAGAGAAGGUUAUUGACAAUGAAGAGGGAAGAUGCAAGAGGAGAAACUGGGGGAGAAAAACCUCGUUUCAAGUGUAGUGCCAUCAUGCUCCAUUGCCAAACAGGCUAUCGAACCCCAAUAUGACCAUUUUUUGGACCCAAUUACUGUUUACAAUUUAUUAUGCAUCCCUCAUAUAUGGUUAUAGCAAGAAAUGGAAUGUUUCCAUAAAGUUUUGUUUAGAAAGAGAGAGAGCAUCAUGGACACUUGCGGGUAUCUGAAACCUGUGAGCUAGGCUAUGUGUUGACUACAAGCACCAUGGAGCCCACCAGGCUAUCUGUGAAUCAGGUAUUGGACACUCAUGUAUGCCCAUAGCAUUUCCUUAAAAAAGAUCCCCUUGGAAAAAUUGCAUGGCAGGUGCACCAGGAAGACCAAAAGAGGGGGAGCACUGAUGAAAAUUAAGCUGAAUACGAACAAUAUAUUUUUUUUAAAAAAAGGAGGUUGGUUAUGUAGGUUAUCUUUUGACACCAUAAAGACAACUGAUUUAGCAAAAAAAAAAAUUCUAGAUGCUGUGUAUAUAACCUGUUUUCAUGCCUGUCAACUUAGAGAGGAAAACCUAUUAUUUCCAUAACAAUUGGUUGCCGUUUUGGAAUGCUACCAUGAGUAUCAAGCACAUCCAACUGACUCCAAUCCAGCACUAAGAAACGGUAAUGAUUUUGUAAGGAAAAAAUCAAUACUAAAUUUGCUCUCACCUUCAAAACUCUCAUCAUUUUUGCCAACUGCCACGGCUUCAUUUGACAGGGGAGUUGGAUUUGCGGCUUGUAGGUUUAGUUGCAAUUUCCCUCUGGGAGAU